rnacentral:rRNA from 1 species
UGAUAUAUGUCCUAUUAGCUAGUUGGCGGGAUAAAAGCCCACCAAGGCAAUGAUAGGUAGCUGGUCUAAGAGGAUGAACAGCCACAAUGGGAUUGAGAUACGGCCCAUAUUCCUACGGGAAGCAGCAGUAGGGAAUCUUCCACAAUGGACGAAAGUCUGAUGGAGCAAUGCCAUGUGAACGACGAAGGCCAGACAGGUCGUAAAGUUCUUUUAGAGGGGAAAAAUCUGAUGGUACCCUCUGAAUAAGUGACAGCAAACUAUGUGCCAGCAGCUGCGGUAAUACAUAGGUCGCGAGCGUUAUUCGGAUUUAUUGGGCGUAAAGCAAGCGCAGGCGGAUGAAUAAGUUCUGCAUUAAAAGCAGCUGCUUAACAGUUGUUUGUGCCCGAAUACUAUUCAUCUAG